ACGAACGCUGGCGGCGUGCUUAACACAUGCCAGUCGAACGGAAAGGCCCUGCUUUUGUGGGGUGCUCGAGUGGCGAACGGGUGAGUAACACGUGAGUAACCUGCCCUUGACUUUGGGAUAACUUCAGGAAACUGGGGCUAAUACCGGAUAGGAGCUCCUGUUGCAUGGUGGGGGUUGGAAAGUUUCGGCGGUUGGGGAUGGACUCGCGGCUUAUCAGCUUGUUGGUGGGGUAGUGGCUUACCAAGGCUUUGACGGGUAGCCGGCCUGAGAGGGUGACCGGCCACAUUGGGACUGAGAUACGGCCCAGACUCCUACGGGAGGCAGCAGUGGGGAAUAUUGCACAAUGGGCGGAAGCCUGAUGCAGCAACGCCGCGUGCGGGAUGACGGCCUUCGGGUUGUAAACCGCUUUCGCCUGUGACGAAGCGUGAGUGACGGUAAUGGGUAAAGAAGCACCGGCUAACUACGUG
rnacentral:rRNA from 1 species